rnacentral:rRNA from 1 species
AACCUCCGCAAUGUGAGAAAUCGCGACGGGGGGAUCCCAAGUGCCAUUCUUAACGGGAUGGCUUUUCAUUAGUGUAAAGAGCUUUUGGAAUAAGGGCUGGGCGAGAACCGGUGCCAGCCGCCGCCGGUAACACCGGCCGAGCUCUAGUGGUAGCAGUUUUUAUUGGGCCUAAAGCGUCCGUAGCCGGUUUAAUAAGUCUCUGGUGAAAUCCUGUAGCUUAACUGUGGGAAUUGCUGGAGAUACUAUUAGACUUGAGACCGGGAGAGGUUAGAGGUACUCCCAGGGUAGAGGUGAAAUUCUGUAAUCCUGGGAGGACCGCCUGUUGCGAAGGCGUCUAACUGGAACGGUUCUGACGGUGAGGGACGAAAGUUAGGGGCGCGAACCGGAUUAGAUACCCGGGUAGUCCUAACCGUAAACGAUGCGGACUUGGUGUUGGGGUGGCUUUGAGCUGCUCCAGUGCCGAAGGGAAGCUGUUAAGUCCGCCGCCUGGGAAGUACGGUCGCAAGACUGAAACUUAAGGAAGUU